ACGCCGACGCCUCCCCUGCAGCGCUCCCUCGACGCCGACGUCGACGCCUCCUCUCGAAGACCCUCCUCCUCCCUCUCUCGACGCCGACGCCGACGCCCCGUCGAAGCCGCUUCAUCCUCUCUCUCUCGACGCCGACGCAGGAAGAUGAUGAAUAGAACUGGGACUGGCAAAGAGAACAUCCAAGUAGCUUAGACUGUGUAUGGUUCUUUCAUGUUAUAUCUUCGUGGAGGACAUUUAGCUGUGUGUGCUUAUAUCUUACUAUUUGGAGCCUGAAAGUGGAGGACAAUGAGUUGUAACUUUUUCUGUUUUGAAACAAGAAAAUGUAUCAAAUUUGUGAGAGUUUAUUUGAAAUUUGGAAGGGCUUGUUUGUGGCUGUUGUUUAUUUGAGUUUAUUUGAGAAUAAUCAAAUGCUGGCCAUGUCUAACGAGUUUGCCUGCUGUUGUUGCUGCUUGUAAUUUGUGAUAUUCAUUGUUCUUGUAAUGUUGUUGCUGCUGGACAUGUACUUGAGAAGUCAAUGAAGCUCAUUUGUAAUGUUGUGUA